CAGCCACCUGCUUAUUCAUCUGGCAUCUGAAUCUCUAAAGCACUCCCUACAGGUGUUUUAUGAUCCCAGGUUUUAAGUACUCAACUGUAUCUUUAUGGCCAGCAAAGCCCAAUAACUUCUGCUUUCCUUACACAUCUCAUAAGGUAUUCAUGGCCUUCACUUGAAAUAUGCUAAGAGGCUUUUCAGCAAGACAUGGGUCUGUUUGCGAUAUCAGGCCUGCGACUAAAUGAGAGGUUUUCUCGGCCCUGACCCUCUCCCCAGAUCCUCCUUUCAUCCAUAGAUUAAUGACACAACCAGAGACUCACACUGCUGCUCUCCUUUAUUGUGUCCUAUUCAUCCGCCUCUUCCGCCCCUCUAGUCCUAUCUCUCCUUCGUCAGAAUUUGCUCCGGUCUGGUCUUGCUCAGAAUGGCAUCUUUUUCAGUACUUUCAUUAAAAUAGUACUAGUCUCACAUUGCCAGACCUAUCUCCAUAGCGCUGUGUCAGUGCUGGAGUAUGGUUUGCUGCACUAGUUAACAUUCUGGUUUAGG